AUAGGGGUUGGCUCCCUAAAAGACACCAAUUGUAUAGUGUAAAAAGCAUUGAGUAUAAAGUUAUUACUUUUUCAUCCUCAACUUAAGCUUUUGAAAGGAACAGAUUUCUGUAAGAAAUUUAAUGUCAAGGGGUAAUGAUAACAUCAUUUACACUAGAAUUAUUAUUAUUUUUUAGUUUAUGCUAAGCAUUACAAUGCUUAGUGGUAGCCUGUUCCCAAAUGCUCUUAAAAUGCUUUUCUGUUGUAUCAAAGUCUUUGCAAAAACUUACACACAUUUUUUGGCUAGCGUGGGAAAAGAAAAAAAAAAGAUGAACAAUGCGGCUCUUUAACUAGUUCCUAGUUCUUCACUAUAACACUUUUCAAUGAUAUUGGGUGUUUUAUAAGCUGUAAAACAGUCCAUAAUGGCAAUUAAGUGCUCAAAUAAGGCUAUAACUCAACGUUAGCAGUUAUUUGUAAGCAUCAUAGAGUAAUAGACUGAAUGCGGCAGCCAUUUUUUUCUCGGUCCAUCUCUGCGUACUAAGCACUACCAUGCUUAGCGAUAACUUACUAUCUAAUACUUAUUACUAGUACAAACCGUAGCAAUAGGGCCAACUAAAAGUUAAAUCAGGAAAUCACUGCCUAAUGAGAAUUUCAUUCUAUUUGACACUGUACAAUCUCAAUCAUUGGGUCUAAAAUAAAAUUCCCCAUAACUAUUGCAUCAGCAUUCUCAUUAGUAAUAUAACCCUGAUCUCAUUAUACAAUUUCAUAUUAAUCUUAUUUCACUCAUCAGUUAGCCUAGAGGUUAUUACAAUUAUGAAUUAAAAACUUCCUACACUUGAAAUCCUCAAUAGUGAUAAUAAUGUAUGUAGACUUGAACUUGUGAUUGCCCUUCAUAAUGUCUUUAGUCCUAACAGGCUCAAGUUCAUUCCGUAUAUAAAACACCACAAUACACCCCUUUUAGAAAGUAUCACUAUUGUAUAACUUAUAGUUAUAAGAUGGAAAUUUAAAUUAAUUCCUGUUACUGCUGUUCCUCAAAUAUAACCAAGUUUCCAUAAUUCCCAUUAGGUCAUGGUUUUCCAUUUCAGCUAAAGUUUAGGACUUUUUUAUUUUGUUCCAAAUAUGCAUAAUAUUUGAGUAAUAACAACUAUGCUUAUUCUUUAAUUUACAUUGUUUAUCUUUAAGUCUUGCACUUACCUUUAAAGCUAUUAUUCAAAUUGUUAUGCUCUAAAUCUCCUAUUUCUAAUCUCCUCAUUACCUCAGUUAUCUUUUCAGUUUCUUUAUUCCUGAUUUCCUAAGCUUCGUCAUCACCAAUGUAAGCUUAUUUAAACUGUGUUUAAUUAGUAUCUCUAUAGUUUUCUCAAAACUUCUACUACUAUACCUGCUUAAGCUUACCUAUGGCAUAUAAUUCAUUCUUGCCCUGAAAAUUAUCUUACAAGUCUAACCAGCUCACUUGUUGUUCUAACUUCUAAGUAUAUCCCUGAUAAUCUUUCUUUUAAGCUAUGGAUCCUGCUAAAUAAUUCAUUUUCACAUAUAGAGCCUGAAGAUGUUUUGAAAGGCAGACAAAUAGCAUAAAAAAUUAACUCAUAUUGAAAGAUUAACAGGUCUCACCAAGACUUGUAAAAUAUUAAAGUCUGAAUUACCAAAUACAAAAUUGAAUCUAGGAUCAAGAAUAAUAUUUAUAAGUAUGUUUAAUUUUGUUAAUUUUACAAAUGUAUAAAACAUUCUCUAAUUGGCAUACUCUUAUUUACUGUAUAUUUGAUGAAUAUAUUUCUAUUUUAUACCUGUACAAAAUAUAGAGAGACCUGAAUAAUAAGUUAAACACAACAUACGUUUUAGUUAAAUUCCUUUUGAUGCAGUGUAUUUCUGUGUUUCUCUAGAACAACUCAAGUUUAAGAAGCAUGCUUAAUUUACAGUGCUGUAUCUGUAUUUACUUUUAAUUUUUUUUAACAUCAUCAAAUGUUACAAAAUGAAAUGAUAUUUCCUUUUGCUUAUCUACAAGUGACCUAGAACUUGCAUGUAGUAAUUACUGAUUUGGUUCAAGACAAUCCUUCUAUCAUCAUUAAAAGAUAAAUAAAGAAAUAACUGUCUUCUAGUUUAAUUUCUCAUGUCCUUCCUGCGUAAAUACACUUCAUCUCAACAAUCCCAUCAAGGUCUUUUAUAGUAUCUGGAAGUGUACGAAGAAAGGGCAUUUCUAUGCAUAAAAAGAUUCCUGGUUUGUGCACGUCAUGAACAAGAAGUAACAGAUAGCAAAGACAUUUUUGCCUGUAAAUACUCAUCAUCAGGUGGAUUCUGACAACAGAUGAUUGCAGAGCAUCUCCCUUUAGUUUAGAUGGAGUUUUCAUGGUUCAUCUUUCUAAUUCUUUCUAGGAUAUAUCACAGAGUGGAAUAUCAAGAGAGUUGAUAUCGGUAUCCUAUUUUGGAGUUCCCAACACCAUCGUUACUUUGCUUGGGACCUCUCAUCUACUAGCAUCCUUGCUCCCUCCACACUUGCCAAUUGGAUCCUCCAACUCAUCUGGAUCUUUAACCUUUCCUUGGGUGUGGUUAGUCGUCCACCAUUUUGUGUCUCCUACUACCAGAUUCAUCUUCUGACACAGUCUCUGGCAGCUUCCCAUUGACAGCUUGAGGAGAUUCUCCACACCAGCAUGUGGACUACCCACAAUCAUUUGCCUCACUAUUUACACCAUCUGGUUGUCUCGUCUCCAGUAGCAUACAGUUUUUCCAUCAAUGCCUAUUCUUUAAUUGACACUGUGCCUGUAACAGGUGAGAGUAUUCUUUUAAUUAUUCCUUCCUCACCUUCAUUCUAUUAUCAGAUCCCAUGAGGUUGCUAGUGUUGCAUCCCAGCCCAGGGUAUACUUAUGCAAAAUCUGUAUCGAACCAGGAUAAUAGAAAGUGCUAAUACCAUCCACUUUGACUCAGUCAGUGCCUACUGUGAGAUUGGUUUGUUCCAUAAGACCACUGGAGUAUUACUUGUGAUAAUACUAUAUAACAUUCAAUAGUCUGAUCCAGACUGUACCCAUUUCAUGAACUAUCGUGGAAAAAGCCAGUGCCAGAGCUGUGCAUCUACCCACUUCAUAUGAUUAUGUUCUGAGUGAAACUCAUAAACUGAAAAAUUAUUAUGCUUAUAACGUGAUUGCUGGGGUAAUUUUUAUUAAUCAUGUUGGUUAGAAAUAUUGCUAUUAGUAUUUAGAACUAUAUGAUGGUUUUGAUUGGUGUUACAAAUAAAAUAAAUAAUUGCAAACACUGCAUUCAAAAUGCUGUUCGCUAUCAUUUGGAACAUACUAUUUAUAAGCAACAGUGUCAAUAGCUAGAGGUGGGGAGGUCAAAUAAUCAUCGCAAUAUUCUAAAAAGUAAAAGCUCCACUUCCUAAGAUGUUCACAACUUAACAGCUUAUUACUGUGAGGUAAGCUAAGCUCCUUUUUGUUUUUGCUCUCUUAAGAUUUGAAUAAUUUUGUUUUACAAGUGUCAUUUAGGAUAAGGUAAAUCACUUGAAUUCUUUGUAUAGCAGGAAAAGUCCACAUUUCUAAAGAAAAAGACUCCCACUACAAAAAUAUAUAUACACACACACACAUCAUAGUGCUGGCUACAUCCCUGACCAGUUGCCACAAAAAUACUAUUAUAAGUUCAUGUGUUUCAAUAAGGAUUGAGCAACAGGUAGGUAAGACACUAACAAACCACCUAUAAUUAUGUGGUUGUUAGAAAGAAAUUGUAUUGCUGGCAAACUUGUGGUACUUGUGGCUUCUGUAUUGUUAGAAACUUGGUUAUAAAGUUACAUUUGUGAAUGUUGGAGAAUCAUAUACAUACCAGAAUAUCUGAACACAUCAAAGCUAAUCCCAAUGCUACUUACAAAAGAACAAAACCUAUUUUUUAAACAGUAUGUUAGUAAAAAUACUAAAAACUAAUUUCAUUUUUAGAAAAAGUGAAAUACACUGAAGCAAUAUUACUGUAUUAAAUUCUGAUAUUUGUAAUAAAGAUCAAAUUAGACUGCAUAAUUAUUACAUUUGUUUCACAGUCUUCUUAAGUUUGUCCAUUACGAAUUUAAAAUCAGAGGUACAGAAAAUGACAUUUAAACAUACUUUUUUGUCUUCCACAAAUUUCUGCCAAGGAGGCCUUUAGUCAAUAUCAGACUUAGUCAGUUUAUUAUUUCUAAAUAAUAAUAGUUUUUUAUUAUUUAUAGCUUGUGAAAUAAAAGAGAAACUAGUAAAACUUGAACUUUCAGUGUUAAAUGGUACUGUAUAAGAAGUAACAUUUUACUAAGAUAAUAUGCUAAUAAAAUACAGAAUGUUUCAAAACUUCACUUAUUGUACAAUGCUACUGAUGAAAUAUAUAUGCCUCUUUGCAAAUUCAUCAGGAAGUACUGUCCUACUAUAUUUGAAAUGCUUAACCUGUCCCUAUACUCAUCCCAUAAUGAGUCAACAUCCACUAAGGCCAUGAAAUGUGCUUCUAUCUGUGGAGUUUCUGCAUAUAAAACAGCUCGGAACAGCUAGAUACUGUGUGAAUAAGAUUCAUUAAGUAAUUCAAUGUGUCUGAAAUAUGAGAUACAAAGUCCCAUACAAAAUAAUUACAUGUUUCUAAAUGUGAAAGAUGUUUAUAGAAAAAGAAGUGAAAUGUUCUUAUAAAAAAUCGUCACUAAAUUUAUUUUACUCAGAAUCUGUUAUAAAAUCAUAUAGAAGUAAGGUAAAUCUCAAACUCUGCAGUAGUUUAGGUGCAAUCCCAAACAUUAAUAUGCCUUGAUAUCGGUAUUUCUAAAAACCUCUGUAAUAGUAUGUACAUAUAAUGUAAUGGGCAGAUCAUAGCUAGGGUCAUUGAUUAACAGAGUCUCCGUAUAUAAGAGAUUUUUCAUUCACAAACUGAGGCCUGAAAUUAACAAAAUAAGGUCAGCUAGUACGUUACUGUACUUAUAAUUUUAUGCGGUGUUGUAGUAAGUAAUGACUCGACCGCAAAAGAAGAGAUAAUACACAAGUUUAUUCAGGUGAGAAAAUACCUUAACCAUAAAUCAAUAAAAUCGGUACUCAAAGUUUUUCAGGUGAGAAAACACUUUAUUCACAAAUCAAUAAAAUAAAUACACAAGUUUUUUUCAGGUAAGAUAUCACAAAAUAGUAAAAUGGAUACGUAAUUUGUUUUCAUUUAAGAAAAUUUUUAUCCACAAAUCAAUAAACUGGACACACAAGUUUUCUUUCAGGUGAGAAAACACUAUCAACAAAUCAAUAAACUGGAUACGCAAGUUUUUUUGGUGUGAAACUAUUUUAUUCACAACUCAGUAAAAUGGAUGUCACAUGAACACCAUGGACAAAACGUUUAAUAAACAAUACCAAUAACUUUUUAAUUUGUCUAGGUAAGCACAAUAUGAAAACUAUGGCGAAUAUGAUAGUACUGAUCUUGCUUAGAGUUAAAUUACAAUCUCCGAAGUCUGCGUUAGUUCCCAAAAUGCCUUUCUUAUCCAUCUACUCUACCUGUCCAAUAGUACAAUCUUCCCACGUGGAUGUCAGACCAAGCGACCCACAUAGGCCAGCUUAGGAAAUCACCGAUUAUAACAUCCACCUUUAAAGAUGAACGUGCUCAUGACUCGGGGCAUGUGAAAGUUCGUAAUCCAUGAUUCACGCAGUACAAGGCUUGACAGACAGUUUUAGGUACGACCUUGACAAGUACUAAAAAUUUGAAAACUAUCUGAAUAAAGAUAUACAUUUAGAUUUAGUUUGAAUGAUGUAUAUACAUCUAGAUUGUCAGAUAUAAUUUUUUUGUUUAUUGUUUUGAAAAUUUUGCUAGGGAUAUUUGUUUCAAUUAACAAAUGUCUCAUCCCAUUUUAUUUUAUAGCUCUAAUUCCAACAUUAUCUUCCGGAAAAUAUAAAUACUACAA